rnacentral:rRNA from 1 species
GACGAACGCUGGCGGCGUGCCUAAUACAUGCACGUAGAACGCAGUUGCGAACGGGUGAGUAACGCGUCGGUAACUGCCUGGUAGCGGGGGAUAACUAUUGGAAACGAUAGCUAAUACCGCAUACUACCAGAUGGCCCUGCGUUGUAUUAGCGAGUUGGUGGGGUAACGGCGCAUCAAGGCAACGAUACAUAACCGAGCUGAGAGGGUGAUCAGACACACUGGGACUGAGACACGGCCCAGACUCCUACGGGAGGCAGCAGUAGGGAAUCUUCGGCAAUGGGGGGAACCCUGACCGAGCAACGCCGCGUGAGUGAAGAAGGUUGUCGGAUCGUAAAGCUCUGUUGUUAAGGAAGCGGUACUUAACCAGAAAGGGACGGCUAACUACGUGCCAGCAGCCGCGGUAAUAC